GGGCGUGUCGUCAAGUGGUAUGACUGCUGCAGUACCCGACGUGACAUUAGCAUUGUCAAGGCCAGGGGUUCGAUUCCCCUCACGUCCA
rfam:Cyanidioschyzon merolae strain 10D DNA, chromosome 13, complete genome.